CACGUGACACAUCUCCCGUCGACAGGGACAGCCUGCGAGAAUUACGGACGCUAACGCCUCCACGCCUCCACGGCGAGAGGGGCCCGCCUGGGCCUGGGCCUGGAUUCUCAUGCACCACUGGCAGGGCGUGGGGCCCGGCUUUGUUGCUAGGUGGGGCCCGCGGCUGUCCCCGCCCUGUCUUCCUGCUGUACGUAGGAGUAGCUAGCACUAGCAGCAGUGGGACAGCGACAACAGCGAUGGUGACGCCGAUAAUUACGAGGCAUAUCCGUUCUACCAGCUCUCGACUGUAGCAUGGACUAGGCUCGUGAGCAAGACUGGUGGCGUGAAGAGGCUGUCAGUCAUUUUGCACGUGGAUUUUUUUGGAUUACACCAUGAUUAACGCCACAUAUUCCUUGAAGCCGGAAAACAACGCGACCAGCUUGACUGUUAGGUCAUGUUUAGUGCCUUCUACUUGUACAGCAGAAUCAGAGUAGUAAAGUACCCCCAUUUAUAAAGAUUUAUCUGAAAUCUUUUGGAAAGAAAGUAGAGUUUGAUAGCGCUCUAGUAGCGAGAUUUGAGACUAACGGAGAGAAUUCUGCACUGCAAGGUUGGUUUUUUUUUCCUUAUGAGAGUGCUUUCGCAAAGCGCAAGAGAAAGGACAUGUUAGCACCACACCAAUCGGAUAGGAGGAGGAGGAGGGGGAAUGCGACAUUGGAUUGAAGUAAAACGAACCACCAGCUUCGUUUCGAGCGGAAUCGAUGUGACGAGAAAAUGCAGAGCGCAUGGGCAGGGCACCCGAUCCAAGUAGGCGAACAAGCGAAGCGAGGCAGAAGCCAGGCAGAGCCGCAGAAGCAAGAACCCCACGACCCCAAAACGCGAGGCAGAAGAAGUUCUGACCGGGGUCAUCAUCUCGGCCGCGAGUAAGUACCGUCAGGAGAAGAAAGUAGCAGGAAGAGAGACCGAGAGACUAUGAAUGAAUGGCCGGCGGGCGCGACGGCCUCGGUGAUUGCCGGUGGACGACUGGUCGGCGACGGUCGGCGUGGCGGCCGCUCGGCCCGUCAGCUCGCCUUCUCCCGAUGAGCCUAUAUGGGUCCGCGGCAAACCCAUUCGCGCGGAGAAUAGCGUGAUCGCCCUGAUGCAGAGGAGCGGGCAUCGUGCCAAUAUAUAUAUAUACUUUAUGUGUGUAAUGCCAAUCUCUACUUCUCUAGUUGGCCCGUGCUCUUCCGGGCCCCUGGCCACUGCUCGACCUGUAGCUGUAGGCAUGGGAUGGGAGUACUGUUCUUGGAGAGAGAGAGAGAGAAGGGCAAGGGCGCAACCGCGCAAGCGCAAGGCGCCUUUCGGCUUUCGAUUGACCUUUAUAGCCUUAAGCCUACCCACAGCAGUAUUCUCUCUCCUUGUUUUUGGAAAUUGAGAAUAACGUUUACCGUACUUACGCAGGAAAUAUGAGAAUAUCACCGACAGACUGAUACGCAAGUCAUGUGAGACAUAGGCCCUUGCAGGACUGAGCAAUUAUCAGUGAGCGCGUGGGGGAAGUUGGCCAAGGCCACACCAGCUGAUCAGCGAGCAGAAGAUCCCACUCGGCUUCCUGCUACUACUCGUAGGCAGCUAGCCUGCCCCGGCUGACCGGCUCCCCGCGAAACCUGUGCACUGAACCACUCAUCAUUCCCUCUGGUCCUGGUCCCCCGACCGCUACCCCCAAGCGGGCCCACGUAGGCCCCAGCGAGGUGGGUCUCGCGAGCCGGAACUGGCAUCUCUUCAACGCGGGCGCGCCGCCGAGCCCCACACACCAACACCAGACACCACCACAGUAAGAGCCACACCUCUGAAAAGAUGGCGGGUGGGCCCGUGGAACAAGAUUGGGCCGCCGGGGUCCGCAAUAAUUGCGCCCCGGUGGGGCCCAUGACGCAAGCUGCCUGCCGCGCGAUAGGAUCGCGAAGGCGUGGUUGGACCGUUGGACCCGUUGGAGUCGAUUCGGCGGCGACCGUGCCACGUCGGCCGGCCUCCCAUUGGACGCCGCGGAUCACGGGAUCAGGGAUCUCGGGCCGUGGGCCAGCGUCGCGUUUGUUACAAAACCUUUCAUGUGAUCUAAUUCCAAGGGAUGCGACCCGGUGUCUCUUCACUAUGUAUAUAUAUGUACACACUUCAUGAGAUUAAUACAACCGUUAGUUCAUUC